UACGGGGGGUGCGAGCGUUGUCCGGAAUCACUGGGCGUAAAGGGCGCGUAGGUGGCCUGAUAAGGGUGUGGUGAAAGUCCGGGGCUCAACCCCGGAUCUGCCGUGCCGACUGUUGGGCUGGAGUACUGUAGGGGCAGGCGGAAUUCCGGGUGUAGUGGUGAAAUGCGUAGAUAUCGGGAGGAAUACCAGUGGCGAAGGCGGCCUUCUGGGCCGUUCCUGACGCUCAGACGCGAAAGCUAGGGGAGCAAACGGG
rnacentral:rRNA from 1 species